rnacentral:rRNA from 1 species
UACGGAGGGGGCUAGCGUUGCUCGGAAUUACUGGGCGUAAAGGGCGCGUAGGCGGCCUCGUAAGUCAGGCGUGAAAGCCCCGGGCUCAACCCGGGAAUUGCGCUUGGGACUGCGGGGCUCGAGUUCGGGAGAGGGCAGUGGAAUUCCCAGUGUAGAGGUGAAAUUCGUAGAUAUUGGGAAGAACACCAGUGGCGAAGGCGGCUGCCUGGACCGAUACUGACGCUAAGGCGCGAAAGCGUGGGGAGCAAACAGG